rnacentral:lncRNA from 1 species
UAUAUAUGUAUGUAUUUAUGUAUGUUUAGGUAUGUGUAUAUAUAUAUAUAUAUAUAUAUGUAUGUUUUUAUGUAUGUUUAGGUAUGUGUAUAUAUAUAUAUAUAUAUAUGUAUGUAAUUAUGUGUAUAUAUAUAUAUAUAUAUGUAUGUAAUUAUGUAUGUUUAGGUAUGAGUAUAUAUAUGUAUAUAUAUAUAUAUACAUAUGUAUUUAUUUGCAUAUAUAUAUGUAUUUAUUUGCAUAUAUAUAUGUAUUUAUUUGCAUAUAUAUAUGUAUUUAUAUGUAUAUAUAUAUAUGCAUAUAUGAUCACAUAAUGAAAGUAAGAAAAAGCGAAUAGCUUCCCAAUUUUAUUGCUGCAUUUAACUGCCUUAUCCUUGUUCUCUAGCUUUAGUAGCUUCGCUUAGAGUACUAGCACUUUAACAUCCUCCGUCCUACAGGUCAACUCAUAUCAACCUGUUGUUAAUCAUUUGUAGAAAGGAAAUAUAAAUACGUCAAUGUUGUGACACAGUCAUUGUAAUGCUUGUAUUUAUGUAUCCAUUCCCCAUUUUAUUGUUUUUUUUAAAGAUAUUUUGUUGUUUUUUUCUUAAAAAACCCCAAUAUUGUUGUAUUUUUACAAAACACUUUUUUUUUUUAUUAUUUCAUAAAUCUAAACCUUAUGUACAAUUCGUUUAAUACUUUAUAAAUGGAAUAAAUAAAUGCAUUCCUUUGAUGUUGUUUGUUAUUGUUUAAUUGUUUAUCACCAGUUUAGCUUUAAC